rnacentral:rRNA from 1 species
GACGGGGGGAUGCAAGUGUUAUCCGGAAUCACUGGGCGUAAAGCGUCUGCAGGUGGUUUCCUAAGUCCACUGUUAAACCUUGAGGCUCAACCUCAAAUCUGCAUUGGAAACUAGGAGACUUGAGUAUAGUAGGGGUAGAGGGAAUUUCCAGUGGAGCGGUGAAAUGCGUAGAUAUUGGAAAGAACACCGGUGGCGAAGGCGGCUCACUGGCUCAUUUCUGACGCUCAGGCGCGACAGCGUGGGGAUCAAACAGG